rnacentral:rRNA from 1 species
UCAACCGUGGAAGGUCAUUGGAAACUGGGGGACUUGAGUACAGAAGAGGAAAGCGGAAUUCCACGUGUAGCGGUGAAAUGCGUAGAGAUGUGGAGGAACACCAGUGGCGAAGGCGACUUUCUGGUCUGCAACUGACACUGAGGCGCGAAAGCGUGGGGAGCGAACAGGAUUAGAUACCCUGGUAGUCCACGCCGUAAACGAUGAGUGCUAAGUGUUAGGGGGUUUCCGCCCCUUAGUGCUGCAGCAAACGCAUUAAGCACUCCGCCUGGGGAGUACGGCCGCAAGGCUGAAACUCAAAGGAAUUGACGGGGGCCCGCACAAGCGGUGGAGCAUGUGGUUUAAUUCGAAGCAACGCGAAGAACCUUACCAGGUCUUGACAUCCCGCUGACCGGUAUAGAGAUAUACCUUUCCCUUCGGGGACAGCGGUGACAGGUGGUGCAUGGUUGUCGUCAGCUCGUGUCGUGAGAUGUUGGGUUAAGUCCCGCAACGAGCGCAACCCUUAAUCUUAGUUGCCAGCAUUCAGUUGGGCACUCUAAGGUGACUGCCGGUGACAAACCGGAGGAAGGUGGGGAUGACGUCAAAUCAUCAUGCCCCUUAUGACCUGGGCUACACACGUGCUACAAUGGAUGGUACAAAGGGUCGCAAAACCGCGAGGUCAAGCUAAUCCCAUAAAACCAUUCUCAGUUCGGAUUGCAGGCUGCAACUCGCCUGCAUGAAGCCGGAAUCGCUAGUAAUCGUAGAUCAGAAUGCUACGGUGAAUACGUUCCCGGGCCUUGUACACACCGCCCGUCACACCACGAGAGUUUGUAACACCCGAAGUCGGUGGGGUAACCCUUACGGGAGCCAGCCGCCGAAGGUGGGACAGAUGAUUGGGGUGAAGUCGUAACAAGGUAACC